UUGUCUCAAAGAUUAAGCCAUGCAUGUCUCAGUACAAGCCAAAUUAAGGUGAAACCGCGAAAGGCUCAUUAAAUCAGUUAUGGUUCCUUAGAUCGUACCAACAUUUACUUGGAUAACUGUGGUAAUUCUAGAGCUAAUACAUGCAAACAGAGCUCCGACCGGAGACGGAAGGAGCGCUUUUAUUAGAUCAAAACCAAUCGGCGUCGGGUUCGCUUGCGGGCCCGUCGUCGUUCGCAUUGACGAAUCUGAAUAACUUUCUGCUGAUCGCACGGUCUCGCACCGGCGACGCAUCUUUCAAAUGUCUGCCUUAUCAACUGUCGAUGGUAGGUUCUGUGCCUACCAUGGUUGUAACGGGUAACGGGGAAUCAGGGUUCGAUUCCGGAGAGGGAGCCUGAGAAACGGCUACCACAUCCAAGGAAGGCAGCAGGCGCGCAAAUUACCCACUCCCGGCACGGGGAGGUAGUGACGAAAAAUAACGAUACGGGACUCAUCCGAGGCCCCGUAAUCGGAAUGAGAACAAUUUAAAUCCUUUAACGAGGAUCAAUUGGAGGGCAAGUCUGGUGCCAGCAGCCGCGGUAAUUCCAGCUCCAAUAGCGUAUAUUAAAGUUGUUGCGGUUAAAAAGCUCGUAGUCGAAUCUGUGUCCCACGCCGCCGGUUCGUCGCUCGCGGCGUUUAACUGGCGUGUCCGUGGGACGUCCUGCCGGUGGGCUUAGCCCUUUCGGGGGCGGCCCAAUCAUAAUCCCGCCGCGGUGCUCUUCACCGAGUGUCGAGGCGGGCCGGCACGUUUACUUUGAACAAAUUAGAGUGCUUAAAGCAGGCUAAAACUUCGCCUGAAUACUUCGUGCAUGGAAUAAUGGAAUAGGACCUCGGUUCUAUUUUGUUGGUUUUCGGAACCCCGAGGUAAUGAUUAAUAGGAACGGAUGGGGGCAUUCGUAUUGCGACGUUAGAGGUGAAAUUCUUGGAUCGUCGCAAGACGGACAGAAGCGAAAGCAUUUGCCAAAGAA
rnacentral:rRNA from 1 species